UUUUUUUCAAUUAUGGAAAAAUUAGGAUGAAUUCUUUUACCCCCAAGACUUGCCUUUUUUAUUUAUCCAUGUUAUUCUUAUCAAGAAUUAUUUUUGUUCGGUAACAUGCGACAUCGCCUGGAUACGUUUGAGCAAGAAUAGUAAUACAAUUGUGUGCGAACCACACGAGGAGGCAACAAACAUGGAAAACGGUAAAGUUAAAUGGUUUAAUGCAGAAAAGGGCUUCGGUUUCAUCGAACGCGAAGGCGGAGACGAUGUAUUCGUUCACUUCUCAGCUAUCCAAGGCGAAGGCUUCAAAACUCUUGAAGAAGGCCAAGAAGUAACUUUUGACGUUGAGCAAGGCGCUCGCGGACCUCAAGCAGCAAACGUUCGCAAAAACUAAUUAGUUUUUGCUCCAUACAAACAGGCUCCCCCAGGGGAGCCUGUUUUUU
rnacentral:sRNA from 1 species